rnacentral:rRNA from 1 species
CAGCAGCCGCGGUAAUACGUAGGGUGCAAGCGUUAAUCGGAAUUACUGGGCGUAAAGCGUGCGCAGGCGGUUCUACAAGACAGAUGUGAAAUCCCCGGGCUCAACCUGGGAACUGCAUUUGUGACUGUAGAGCUGGAGUGCGGCAGAGGGGGACGGAAUUCCGCGUGUAGCAGUGAAAUGCGUAGAUAUGCGGAGGAACACCGAUGGCGAAGGCAAUCCCCUGGGCCUGCACUGACGCUCAUGCACGAAAGCGUGGGGAGCGAACAGGAUUAGAUACCCCCGUAGUCCCUGUCUCUUAUAC